UCGGACCUACGGGAGGCAGCAGUGAGGAAUAUUGGUCAAUGGCCGGAAGGCUGAACCAGCCAAGCCGCGUGAAGGACGAAGGUGCCAAGCAUUGUAAACUUCUUUUGACAGGGAAGAGCAGAAGACGGUACCUGUCGAAUAAGCCACGGCUAACUACGUGCCAGCAGCCGCGGUAAUACGUAGGUGGCAAGCGUUGUCCGGAUUUACUGGGUGUAAAGGGCGUGUAGCCGGGCUGACAAGUCAGAUGUGAAAUCCGGGGGCUCAACCCCCGAACUGCAUUUGAAACUGUUGGUCUUGAGUAUCGG
rnacentral:rRNA from 1 species